UACGUAGGGACCAAGCGUUGUUCGGAUUUACUGGGCGUAAAGGGCGCGUAGGCGGCGUGGUAAGUCACUUGUGAAAUCUCCGGGCUUAACCCGGAAAGGUCAACCGAUACUGCGGGGCUAGAGUGCAGAAGGGGCAACUGGAAUUCUCGGUGUAGCGGUGAAAUGCGUAGAUAUCGAGAGGAACACCUGCGGUGAAGACGGGUUGCUGGGCUGACACUGACGCUGAGGCGCGAAAGCCAGGGGAGCAAACGGG
rnacentral:rRNA from 1 species